rnacentral:sRNA from 1 species
GUUUUGCGUGAGGGAUGGAAGCGGCAUCCUUUUUCUGUUUUUUGUGAGCGGCGGCUUUGCCGCCGCUCACAAAAAACAGAAAAAGAUACAGCGGACAGCCCGACCCAAA